UUGCUUCAGCCCCACAUGUUGUAAAGUUGGAACUAUACAGAGAAGAUUAGGAUGGCCCCUGUGUGAGAAUGACACACAAUUUCAUAAAGCAUUGCAUAUUUUU